rnacentral:rRNA from 1 species
GAUGAACGCUAGCGGGAGGCCUAACACAUGCAAGCCGAGCGGUAUUUGUUCUUCGGAACAGAGAGAGCGGCGCACGGGUGCGGAACACGUGUGCAACCUGCCUUUAUCUGGGUGAUAGCCUUUCGAAAGGAAGAUUAAUACCCCAUAAUAUAUUGAGUGGCAUCACUUGAUAUUGAAAACUCCGGUGGAUAGAGAUGGGCACGCGCAAGAUUAGAUAGUUGGUGAGGUAACGGCUCACCAAGUCAAUGAUCUUUAGGGGGCCUGAGAGGGUGAUCCCCCACACUGGUACUGAGACACGGACCAGACUCCUACGGGAGGCAGCAGUGAGGAAUAUUGGACAAUGGGUUAGCGCCUGAUCCAGCCAUCCCGCGUGAAGGACGACGGCCCUAUGGGUUGUAAACUUCUUUUGUAUAGGGAUAAACCUACUCUCGUGAGAGUAGCUGAAGGUACUAUACGAAUAAGCACCGGCUAACUCCGU